GCCCCUGUAGCUCAGGGGAUAGAGCACCGGCCUCCGGAGCCGGGCGCGAGGGUUCAAGUCCCUCCAGGGGCG
rfam:Chloroflexi bacterium RBG_19FT_COMBO_48_23 rbg_19ft_combo_scaffold_12758, whole genome shotgun sequence.